rnacentral:rRNA from 1 species
AAAUUUGGACAAUGGCCGCAAGCCUGCUCCAGCCAUGCCGCGUGCGUGAUGAAGGCCUUCGGGCUGCAAACCUCUUUCGGACGGAAUGAAAUCGCGCAUGCUAAUACCCUGCGCGGAUUACGGCCCCGUCAUAAUCAGCACCGCUCCACUACGUGCCAGCAGCCGCGGUAAUACGAAGGGUGCGAUCGAUAAUCGGAAUUACGUGGCGUAACGCGAGCGCAGGCGGGUGAUUAAGACAGGCGUGAAAUGCCCGGGCGUAACCUGGGAACUGCGCUUGGGAGUGGUCAGCUAGAGUACGGCAGAGGGGGGUGGAAUUCCACGUGUAGCAGUGAAAUGCGUAGAGAUGUGGAGGAACACCGAUGGCAAAGGCAGCCCCCUGGGCCGAUACUGAAGUGCAUGCACGAAAGCGUGGGUAGCAAACAGG